rnacentral:misc_RNA from 1 species
GAUGAAAGAACGUAGCGAAAUGCGAUACUUGGUGUGAAUUGCAGAAUCCCGUGAACCAUCGAGUCUUUGAACGCAAGUUGCGCCCGAAGCCACUAGGCCGAGGGCACGCCUGCCUGGGCGUCACACGUCGUUGCCCCCCCCCCAUCUACUCCUUCGGGAUUGCGGGGGGCGGAUGAUGGCCUCCCGUGCGCCUAGCCGCGCGGUUGGCAUAAAUACCAAGUCCUCGGCGACGCACGCCACGACAAUCGGUGGUUGCGAAACCUCGGUUGCCCGUCGUGUGCGUUCGUCGCGCAUCGAGGGCUCGAAAAAAUGCUCGGCUCCGGCUCGGCUUUCAACGCGACCCCAGGUCAGGCGGGGUUACCCGCUGAAUUUAAGCAUAUCAAUAAGCGGAGGA